CGUAUACUUGCGUGUGAGUGACUGAGCGUGGAUUACCGGCGACAUUAUGAAAAAGACCCUGAUGCAGAGACUAGGUGUUUCUUGCAAAACGGAUUGCGCCUCGUCGCAGGCUACGGUAGCCGUCCGUUUUCGUCUACGAUGUUACCUUCCUUCUUUGCGAGAUGUACACUCUGCAUUCGUGCGUGAUGCCUGCACUACACGCACUGAAAGGAGAUUCCUCAUGGGUGACAACCACAUUCACGACCGCCAUUUUGAGUCAGCCUUUACUGCAAGCAUGAUGGAGAAGUGGAAUGAUUCUUGCACAAGAUUUUGGCGAUGGGGCAGCAAGAAACCAAAGUGGGUGGAAAAUGAAUGAUUGAACUUGAACAGAGAUAUGGGGCUGAGUUUAAAGACAUUGAUAAUUCAGAUGCUUUGCUGCAAUGGAGGUGAUGAUGGUGCAGUUUUCCAGCAAGAUGCAGAAACCAGUUCGACAAGAAGUCAAAGUUGAUAUAUCUGAUUAUCACUUGUGAACUUGGAUGUAUUAUUGCCUUUGGAUAUCAUGAACAAUUGACUUUCUUGUUGACUCCCUCUGAGAAGUGGUCUGAAACAUGUAAGAUAACUCAACCAAGGACAAAGAGAGUUGAAGGCAGGUGGCAAAAGAAUGAAUGACUUAGUCAGAAAAGAUGAAUAUGAUCUUUUGAAUAUGAAUGUGGAAGGUAAUUGAUCUUGAUACUAAUGCAAUGCAUUAUGCUGUUUCUAAGUGCCUUGCUUUGAUGAAGGUCAUACUCAUGUACUAUUGUCAUGCAAACGCCAAAUACCAGCUAUAGAUGCUGUGAUCAAGUAUUUAUUACUGUAUGAAAUUUUCUACAGUUGUCGUACAUCUAUAUUUUGCAACAUAUAUAGACACUUUGCCUCAAAGUUACUUGCUGUGACAUCUCUGCACUCUUGAAUAACACACACGCGCGCGCGCGCACACACACAUACGCACGUGUACGCGCGCGCGCACACACACACACACACACACACACACACACACACACACACACACACACACACACACACACAAACACACAAAUGGAUGCGCACUUCAGUAGAGUACUUGAGAUAGCACCCCCAGCCUAUUUCUAGGUGGCUUCCAGCGCUACUCGAGUUUUAGGCUGCGCUGACAUACCCGUAGGAAUUGGCCAGAGCAUCCAAGACACAUUGGCGCAGUCUCAGGACUGGACCUCAAGCCCACGUGUACCCAUACUGCAUGAUGUUUUGCCAAGCCAGCGGUCUUGUCCACCUCAGUCAAUGACCAGGUAAUCGUUUAUACUCAUGCCCAUCCCAUACUUGAACUCAUGACCCAAAAGUUCCGGAUGUUUUCGUUCUUAAAAUGGGCUCUCUAACCAAUUGAGCUAAAGACGUCACAGACACACACACACACACACACACACACACACACACACACACACACACACACACACACACACACACACACACACAGUAGAUUUGUUAAGUAGAUUAAUUCUGUUUGUGAAGUAUGCAAUAAUAUCUUAUGCCAUAUAGAACAUAUUUAAUGUGUGGUCCACUGGAUAUGGAUACCUUAUGCGUUUUGUGUAUUCUCCUAGGAAAGUGAUGAUGCAGAGUCCACAUUAGACAAGGUUUCUGCAGUUGCUCCAUACUUGAUUGUACGUGGCAAUCCAGCCAAACCAAGCCAUGUUAUUGGCAUCCGAGCUCAUCAUCAUGUUUGAAAUUCAGUGCAGCAACAGCAUAUGCCUUCCAGCGCUAUUGCUUGCUGUAAUUUAUGUUUUCAAUACACAUUUCCCUCAAUCUUUAGCAACUUUUUACUGGUGCCUGGAGGCCAUGUUACUGGGAUGUAUUUCAGCUCCAGUGAUAUCUAGUUUUUUAGCUGGAUUGCAAUGAGGAACUUUGUUUGAUGAAUUGUGUUUUGCUUUUUGUUUAGUGCGUUGAUUCACUAUGUUUGGUUUAAAUGUUAAAUACAAGCAAUGGUAUUAAAAUCU